rnacentral:lncRNA from 1 species
GCAUCUGGAUGAUGGGGAUGGACCACUGACAAGUGUUUUCAUUGAUCUGAAAUUAGCAAGACCACAGGCCAGAGUUGUCUCAAAUCCUCGCGUAUAUAUGAAUCACCAGGGCAUCUUGUUAAGAUGCUGCAGGUUUAGGGAGGGGCAGAGAGUGUGCCUUUCUAACAAGCUUCCAGGUGAUAUUGAGAUCUUGAUGCAGCUGGUUCUCAGACCGUGCUUUGAGAAGCGAGGCUACGCUUACCUGGCAGUUUGCUUUUCGGAGAUUUAUCCCGAGGGAACAUGGAUAAUAAAAGCUGUAUUGGGUCAAGAAGUUUUCAUCUAAGAAGGAGGAUUGUGCAAUAGAAAGAGGACUAACGAGGAGCAGGAAAACCAGGGCUGAAUUCCAAGUUAUGCAACAAGCUAACUGGGUGCAUUUGGAUAAGCUAUAGCCUCUCUGAGCUACAAGGAGGAGGUUAAGCUGUGUUGAACAUGUAUCCAGAGCACAAACAGAAACACCCAUUUGGAAAUGUCUGGAUUUGAUGAUGUCCAAGGUCUCUUCUUAACGCGGAUAUCCUGUGAUCUCAGUGACAAGCAUAAAGAGGGAAAGAGUUGGAGACUCAGUGAGAGACAGGGGGCACCCUCAAAUCAGGAUAAUUUGAGGAAGAUCCAUGAAGAGGCUAUUUUCAAAGGAACAAGUCACAAGAGAGUCCCAAAAGUUACAGCUUCUGAGAAAGAAACCAGAGGUCUGAGGAAAGGGGUUACCUCUGUUUUUACGGAUGGGAGGCAGACACGGAAAGGUGAAGCCUCAUCUAAGAUUACACAGUUGGAUCGUGCAAAGAUGCAAGUUCUCAGGGGUGGGGCUCCCAGGGACUUUAUCACUCAGCAAGCAGCUUGGCUAAUAGAAUGCAGGAUCAGAUAUCGAGCAGCAACUAUUCAGCUAUAGAUACCAGCUUCCUGUGUUUGGAAAAGGUGAAAGAACAGAGAGGAGGGAAUGACUUACAACAAAACCAACAUGUGGCUGCUGCUGCUGCUGAUCAUCUCUAACUGACCACUUUACUGUCAGUGCCAAGCAUUGUGCCAAGCGCUGGAUCAAUAUUAUCUCACUUAAUUGUCAUCCCAGUUCUGUGAGGUUUGUAAGAAUGAUCUACAAGAAGGAAACUUUUUAAAAGAUCAUUGAAUUCCGGGAUCCUUCUGUCUGGACUCAUUCUCUGAAUGAGUGUUUCUUAACAUUUCAGGAAAUCAGAAACUCCUCUCAGAGUUAGAAACCCUCUCCUCGGAAGAACGCACAUGGGAUAGAAACUUGCAUCUUCUCUCACAAGUUAAAUCUCACGUGAAUCCCAGGUGUCCAGGUCCAAGCCUUUCU